rnacentral:rRNA from 1 species
AUUGAACGCUGGCGGCAUGCCUUACACAUGCAAGUCGAACGGUAACAGGUCUUCGGAUGCUGACGAGUGGCGAACGGGUGAGUAAUACAUCGGAACGUGCCUAGUAGUGGGGGAUAACUACGCGAAAGAGUGGCUAAUACCGCAUGAGAUCUAAGGAUGAAAGCAGGGGAUCGCAAGUCCUGGUGCUACUAGAGCGGCCGAUGGCAGAUUAGGUAGUUGGUGGGAUAAAAGCUUACCAAGCCGACGAUCUGUAGCUGGUCUGAGAGGACGAUCAGCCGCACUGGGACUGAGACACGGCCCAGACUCCUACGGGAGGCAGCAGUGGGGAAUUUUGGACAAUGGGCGCAAGCCUGAUCCAGCAAUGCCGCGUGCAGGAUGAAGGCCUUCGGGUUGUAAACUGCUUUUGUACGGAACGAAAAGCCCCGGGUUAAUACCCUGGGGUCAUGACGGUACCGUAAGAAUAAGCACCGGCUAACUACGUGCCAGCAGCCGCCGUAA